GCAAGUCGAGGGGUAACAUGAUCUUCGGAUUGAUGACGACCGGCGCACGGGUGAGUAACGCGUAUGCAACCUGCCUUUUACAGGGAAAUAGCCCAGAGAAAUUUGGAUUAAUGCCCCAUGGUACUUAGAGACUGCAUGGUUUUUAAGUUAAAGAUUUAUCGGUAAAAGAUGGGCAUGCGUGACAUUAGAUAGUUGGUGAGGUAACGGCUCACCAAGUCUACGAUGUCUAGGGGUUCUGAGAGGAUGAUC
rnacentral:rRNA from 1 species